GCACUUGUGGCGGAAUGGAAGACGCAGCAGACUUAGGAUCUGCCGCCAAAAGCGUAUGGGUUCGAAUCCCAUCAAGUGCA
rnacentral:tRNA from 1 species